rnacentral:piRNA from 1 species
UCUGAAUGGUUCAUGAGGGUUCCUUGUGC